AAAAUCCGCUGUAACAAUUCUGAGGCGUGAUGGGGAAGGUCAUUAAGACCGAAGUACAUGAUUCCAUGCUUCCAAGAAAAGCAUCUAGAGAGAGAAGUAGUGCCCGUACCGCAAACCGACACAGGUAGAUGAGGAGAGAAUCCUAAGGCCGGCGGAAGAAUUGCAGUUAAGGAACUAGGCAAAUUGACCCCGUAAGUUCGCGAGAAGGGGUGCCUGCGAGAGCAGGCCGCAGAGAAUAGGCCCAAGCAACUGUUUAGCAAAAACACAGGUCUCUGCUAAAGCGUAAGCUGAUGUAUAGGGGCUGACGCCUGCCCGGUGCUGGAUGGUUAAGGGGAACACUUAGCGCAAGCGAAGGUGUGAACUUAAGCCCCAGUAAACGGCGGCCGUAACAAUAACGGUCCUAAGGUAGCGAAAUUCCUUGUCAGGUAAGUUCUGACCCGCACGAAUGGCGUAAUGACUUGGGCACUGUCUCAACUGCAAAUCCGGCGAAGUUGUAGUGCGAGUGAAGAUGCUCGCUACCCGCGAUUGGACGGAAAGACCCCGUAGAGCUUUACUGUAGCUUAGCAUUGAAUUCCGGUAUUGUCUGUACAGGAUAGGUGGGAGACUGGGAAACUAGGGCGUCAGCCUUAGUGGAGUCAACCUUGGGAUACCACCCUGACAGUACUGGGGUUCUAACAGGACGCCAUGAAGCUGGUGACUGGACAUUGUUAGGUGGGCAGUUUGACUGGGGCGGUCGCCUCCUAAAAAGUAACGGAGGCGCCCAAAGGUUCCCUCAGAACGGUCGGAAAUCGUUCGUAGAGUGCAAAGGCAGAAGGGAGCCUGACUGCGAGACCCACAAGUCGAGCAGGGACGAAAGUCGGGCUUAGUGAUCCGGUGGUACCUCGUGGGAGGGCCAUCGCUCAACGGAUAAAAGCUACCUCGGGGAUAACAGGCUGAUCUCCCCCAAGAGUCCACAUCGACGGGGAGGUUUGGCACCUCGAUGUCGGCUCGUCGCAUCCUGGGGCUGUAGUAGGUCCCAAGGGUUGGGCUGUUCGCCCAUUAAAGCGGCACGCGAGCUGGGUUCAGAACGUCGUGAGACAGUUCGGUCCCUAUCCGUCGCGGGCGUAGGAAAUUUGAGAGGAGCUGUCCUUAGUACGAGAGGACCGGGAUGGACUGACCUCUGGUGCACCAGUUGUUCUGCCAAGAGCAUGGCUGGGUAGCUAAGUCGGGAAGGGAUAAACGCUGAAAGCAUCUAAGCGUGAAGCCCCCCUCAAGAUGAGAUUUCCCAUAGCAUAAGCUAGUAAGACCCCUUGAAGAACACAAGGUUGAUAGGUCAGAGGUGGAAGUGCGGUAACGUAUGUAGCUGACUGAUACUAAUAGGUCGAGGGCUUGACC
rnacentral:rRNA from 1 species